UGUGCCCAAAUAAUAAUAAUGCGCCAUAUUGCACAGAGAAGGAAAGGCAAGGAGCGCCUCGGGAACCCAGUGGAAUCAGAAGGAAAUGGUCAACUGUUGAUAAUCAGCAAAUGACCAUUUGAAACGUGUCAGACCCUGGGCUAAUGGUCACUGGGGAUACAAACAAAUCAAAAACACAGUCUCGUCCCUCAAGGAGGUCACAGUGUAACAGGCGAUGCAACACGCAAGGGUCAAAGCCAGACAGGCAGAGGUUCAGGCUGCCCUCCACUGCCCAAGCCCAGGAUAGGGCUGAAUCUCACCGCCCA